UGUUCGCCAAUUGUUUGACAUCACUUCUCAUCAGUAGAAUCACUGCGCUCACUCCUGCGACUGUCAAUAUCAAGUUCGUCAAGGCCAUUUGCUAUUUGAAAUCCCUUAAUUUCAAUUUCUCGCAAUCGAAACUUGUUCAAAAUUAACCAACUGAAUUCACGUUUGGAAAUGUUAAUUUGAGUUUGUUUUUAGGGUUUAGAGAGAUCUCGGAAGAGAAGAAAGCUUCACGAUAAAUUUGAGUCCUGGUUCCUUAUCAGGAUGGGCCUAGAGCUAGAACUGGGCUUGAUUUAUAUUUGGGUAUAAACUAUAAA
rnacentral:lncRNA from 1 species